rnacentral:rRNA from 1 species
CCUACGGGUGGCAGCAGUAGGGAAUAUUGCUCAAUGGGGGAAACCCUGAAGCAGCCACGCCGCGUGGAGGAUGAAGGUCUUCGGAUUGUAAACUCCUUUUGUUAGAGAAGAUAAUGACGGUAUCUAACGAAUAAGCACCGGCUAACUCCGUGCCAGCAGCCGCGGUAAUACGGAGGGUGCAAGCGUUACUCGGAAUCACUGGGCGUAAAGGGCGCGUAGGCGGGAUGGCAAGUCAGAUGUGAAAUCCUAUGGCUUAACCAUAGAACUGCAUUUGAAACUGUUAUUCUAGAGUAUGGGAGAGGUAGGUGGAAUUCUUGGUGUAGGGGUAAAAUCCGUAGAGAUCAAGAGGAAUACUCAUGGCGAAGGCGACCUGCUAGAACAUAACUGACGCUGAUGCGCGAAAGCGUGGGGAGCAAACAGGAUUAGAUACCCGUGUAGUC